rnacentral:SRP_RNA from 1 species
GCCAGGCACGGUGGCACGCGCCUGUAGUCCCAGCUACUCGGGAGGCUGAGACUGGAGGAUCGCUUGAGCUCAGGAGUUCUGGGCUGCAGUGCGCUAUGCCGAUCAGGUGCCUGCACUAAGUUCGGCAUCAAUAUGGUGACCUCCCGGGAGCGGGGGACCACCAGGUUGCCUAAGGAGGGGUGAACCGGCCCAGGUCAGAAACGGAGCAGGUCAAAACUCCUGUGCUGAUCAGUAGUGGGAUCGCGCCUGUGAAUAGCCACUGUACUCCAGCCUGGGCAACAUAGCGACACCCCAUCUCUU